AGAGGUCAUAAAUCCUCAAGAUAUUUGAAUCAUUACCCUAACUGCAUAGAGAAAGAAGAUUAUGCUUUCAGCAUCACCACAAGGACCAGAUGAAGUGCCAUGUCCCAAGGAGGAGUGAGCAGUGCAAGCUAUACCUUGAAUGACCUGACGUUGUUAUUGUUGCUGCUGUUGUCAGACUACCAAGAUUCUUGGAACUAAGAAGUCUACACAGCACUGAAGAACUUUUCUUAAAGAAAGAUUGAAGAGCUCCAAGGCAAUGGAGAGCACCAUGAGCAUGUCAUGGACUUAGUAUGAUCCAAGAGCUUACUUGCUGUCAUUCUUCGCUUCUGUACAAUAAAAACCCGCAACCGAUUGUUGGAUCGAUGCUUCUUUGAAACUUGAAGGAUGGCAGAGGUUCUAAAAAAUUCUAAAUCUUAAUACGUUUUUAUCAGUAUCCUCGAUCAGUGAUAUUUUUUUCUUCAGGUUCAUUUCAUGUUCUAUCAUCAGCAAUAACACAGGAAUUUAAUAUAUAUUUCUGAACCAGACAUCACCUCUUACUUUCAGAAACUAGAAAAAAACUAAUGUCACUAGCAGUUGCCAUCCUCACAGUGGCAAACACAGAGGGGCAGGGCCAAUCUUCUUUGUUUCCUAGCUGUUUGCAAUAUAAUACAUUUAGCUUUUUGUCUAAAACUGGAGAGAAAGGGGAAAAAAAAAGCCAUGAAGGGGUGCCAUAUAUUUCUUCUUAGGUGAUGUGUGAAUUUGGGACCUGAGAAUGUCAUUGCUCAUUAGGUAAUUAAGAUGUGGAACAUAUCACUGAGAGUAUUUAUGUUGGUAACCGCUUACUAAACAAAUGUGUAACUUCAUCUUGUCUUAUUUGCAUGUCCAAGUGGAAAAAUAAGGGAAUCUGCAUCUUGUUUUGUUGUUUCAAAUUGUUAAUAAAUAGUACUCAUUAGUUAGGAUAAUGCAGCUAGAAACAACAGUAGCAUUUGGUUCUUAUCAAAGUUA